GGUGUAGGCGGCGCGAUAAGUCGAAUGUGAAAGCCCGGGGCUCAACUUCGGAAGUGCAUUCGAAACUGUCGGGCUUGAGUACGGGAGAGGGAAGUGGAAUUCCUGGUGUAGAGGUGAAAUUCGUAGAUAUCAGGAGGAACACCUGUGGCGAAGGCGGCUUCCUGGACCGAUACUGACGCUGAGACCCGAAAGCGUGGGGAGCAAACA
rnacentral:rRNA from 1 species